GGCUUUGUGCAGUGGCAGUAUUUUAGCCAAUAAGGUUGAUCUAGGGCACAAUUAUUGCUAAUUGAAAGCUUUUCCCAAUACCCCACCAAGGCGACUUGAAAUAAAUGUGAUCGAUGUCCUUCU
ensembl:snRNA U4 U4 spliceosomal RNA